rnacentral:rRNA from 1 species
UACAGAGGGUGCGAGCGUUGUCCGGAAUCACUGGGCGUAAAGGGCGCGUAGGUGGCUCUAUAAGUCGGGGGUGAAAUGCUGCGGCUCAACCGCAGCGCUGCCUCCGAGACUGUAGGGCUCGAGCACGGUAGAGGCCGAUGGAAUUCCCGGUGUAGCGGUGGAAUGCGUAGAGAUCGGGAAGAACACCAAGGGCGAAGGCACUCUGCUAGGCCUGAUUUCGCGACUGACACUCAGGGACGAGAGCCAGGGGAGCGAAUGGG